CGAGCAUGAUGCCCCUCGAGUGGGCAUGCCGUUCGGGGCUUGCCCUUGACGGGGUGCCUGCGCCAACGGUUGGUCGCAACGACAACCGGGCCGAAUUGAAGUUGUGGCCACACAACGUCAUUUAGGCAUGUUGCAUGGCUUUGUAUGUUCGAUUCAUGUCGGGUUGGCUUAAAACCCGCACGAUGUGCUUUGAAUGCGACGCACGCUGGCCAAUGAAUUGGGUGUUGUGAGCCUUGCGCAACGCUACUGAGGCCAAAUUUCUCGCUGAUCCUCGAUCAAGGCAUGUUGAGUUAUCUAGCCUAGCUAGUGACAAGAUGUGCUAAGAACGUGGUGCUGCGGGCCAAGGCAAGCUGACGUGCAACCUGUUGAUCGAUGUCUGAAGUGUGCUUGGUUGCCCAAGCUUGGCUAGCGCUCAAAACGUUAGUACGAUAUAGAUUAAUAGGUCUGCAUCGAGGCAUGUGGGUUUCAUUUUUUUCUUUGUUACUUUCGCAUCGUUCGGUGCAUUUUGAGGGCUGUUUUGGCUUUUGGUGGCUUGCUUGGCCUUUUGGUCGGGUGGGUCGCUAUUAGUCGGGGCGGCUUUCGGGAAUGUCGACCGGGAAGGUGCAUGAGUGGUGUUUGGUUUGUUACGGGUGGUUGGCUGUUUGCUUGCGCAACAACGUCCACGCGGCAUACCUCUUCAGUUUUGCGGCAAGACUUGGUUUGUCUUGAGCAUAUUGUGGGUUUCCUGUGUUGCAUACCUAACCGAUGGUAACGUGCGGGUUUCAUGAUGUCCUUUUUCGUCAUGCGUCGCUCAUGCGGCGUGGGAUGAACAUGGAAGCGGCCUUUGUGAUCCACCUUGUUGUUGCAUUUGCAACGAUGAUGUGGCCUAUGAAGAAUUGCUUGGUUUCUUGUAUACGGUACCUAAUGUGGGCAUGGGUCAUAUAAGAUCCUCAAUCUGCCCUCGUUAAGCGUUCUCGCUUCUCUAAAACGAUUGUCUGCCAUGUCUUGGCUUGUCCUUGCAUGGUGGGCUACGUCGA
rnacentral:misc_RNA from 1 species